rnacentral:piRNA from 1 species
UUUUUUACCUGUAUGACUGAU